CACAGUUAUUUUAAUAGAUGGUUUGGAGACUCGAUGAAAGUACAAUAUAACUCAUUAACCAUGUUAUUGUCCAGCUUUGUGCAAGAAUUUGGUCCUAUCUCGUCACGUGUGUAUUGUAUUUUCGCUCAAAUAACCAAUAACAAGUUUGUGGUUGAGUUAUCCAUCCGUAACUUGAACAAAUGCUCAAUUUAAACAUUGCUAUUGGUUGUGCGGGAAAAAAUAC